UACGUAGGGAGCUAGCGUUAUCCGGAUUUACUGGGUGUAAAGGGCGCGUAGGCGGGAGAACAAGUCAGAUGUGAAAUACCGGGGCUCAACCCCGGGGCUGCAUUUGAAACUGUUUUUCUUGAGUGAUGGAGAGGCAAGUGGAAUUCCUAGUGUAGCGGUGAAAUGCGUAGAUAUUAGGAGGAACACCAGUGGCGAAGGCGACUUGCUGGACAUUAACUGACGCUGAGGCGCGAAAGCGUGGGGAGCAAACAGG
rnacentral:rRNA from 1 species